GAUACAGCACACGUGUGGCAUUUAUCGGUGUGCUUGGGAAAAAGGCCCAGCCCAACACUUCGUCACCCGGCGACAGGCGGCGGCGACCACCCCGGGGACUCCGAUGGCGACGGAGAAGGCGCGGCAGCUCCUGGCCCGCCUCGCCGCCACCCCGGACGCCGCCGUUCCUAACCUCCCCUUCCUCCACCGCGCACUCCUCCUCCCUCUCCUCUCCGCUGCCUCCGCUGCCUCCGCCCUCCUCCGCCUCCCCGUCAUCCUCUCCUCCUCUCCGCUACGCUCGCGACGGACCCUACCGGUCCCCGUCAUCAGCGUAGGGAACCUCACCUGGGGCGGCAACGGAAAGACACCCAUGGUCGACUUCCUGGCCCGCAGGUUUCACGCCAUGGGCGUCUCGCCACUCAUCCUAACAAGGGGUUAUGCGGGUGGCGAUGAAUCUAAGAUGCUUCGGAGGCGCCUUGCUGAUACUUCCACCAAGAUUGGUGUUGGCGCAAACCGGGCUGCUGUGGGUUCUUCCAUGUUGCAAAAGUAUGGCCAUGUCGAUCCUUGUGAUGCCUUCUGCCGGGAGAAGUUAGCGUGCAACCGGGUGGCAAGCGGUAAAAGUGCGAAAAUUGGAGUCGCUAUACUGGACGACGGAAUGCAGCACCGGAGCCUGCUUCGAGAUGUGGAGAUUGUGAUGGUCAAUGGGUUGACACCUUGGGGAAAUACCCAUUUCAUUCCACGAGGACCCAUGAGGGAACCGUUGAGCGCACUUACUCGAGCUGAUAUAGUGGUUAUUCAUCAUGCGGAUCUGGCUUGUGAAGCACAGCUGGAAACAAUUGCACGUACAGUCCAGGAUAGUGGCACAACAUGUUCAGUGUUCUUUAGUAAAUUGGCCCCAUCACAUAUUUUUGAGGUUCAUCAACCAUUACAGAGACUAUCUCUUAAUGUGUUGGAUGGCAUGAUUGUGCUAUGUGUUUCUGCGAUUGGCUGCCCAGAUGCUUUCAUACAUACAGUCAGAGAGAUCUCAGGUAUUAUUUCAACACUUUCAACUUUGAGAAGCUUCUUUCAGCUGAUGCCCACAGUCAUUGUAAGUAAAAUCUACUCCCUCUGUCCCAUAAUAUAAGAACGUUUUUGACACUACUAGUGUCAAAAACGUUCUUAUAUUAUGGGACGGAGGGAGUAAUAGGUAAUAAAAUAUUAGGAUAACAAUCUGCUUCUGGCAAACUCAAAACUCUCCAUAGCAGGCAUUGGUCUAUUGGGCAAAUUCAACUGCAUAACACUUAACUCAUAAAUUAGAUCAUUUAACUCAGAAUCAGAUGAACCAUUUGAAGAGAUAGACUUGCAAGCUUAGUGCAACUAUCUUUUAGUUCAUAACGGUCCAAUAACUUCAAGGCCGUUGAACUCAUUAAAAAUCCAAAUAUAUUUUUGAAUCAUUAGAGUUCUUCAAAUAUGCUUUUCAAUGAAUUGGUUGCCACAUCAACCAUAACAAAAAAAAAACUUCAAAAGCCUUCUGAGCUUGCAAGAUUGCUUCAUCGCAGUCAGUUUAAUCAAAUUGCCUCUUCCUUGGAGCAUGGCGCUUUACUAGAAAUGAUGACUCUACACCCGUUUUAGAUGCGAUUUCUUUGGCAAUGAUCACACCAGAAGCAAACCCUUCAUUUCUGUAAGUGCCAAAGUAAUUCCUCAUACCUUCUAUUUGUGUUAAGGCAGACUCAAUGCACAUGGAUAUUGAUUGCAACUUCCUGCUCACUAUAUUUACAACAAAUAGAAUGUCAUUCCAAAUGACCCUAGCCUUGGGUUUGGUACCACUAUCUUCACUUAACUCAAGCAAAGCUGAUCAUUGCCAAAGAAAUCACAUCUAAAUGGGUGUAGAGCUAUAAUUUCCAGUAAAACAUCGUGCUCCUAGGAAGUGGCAAUUUGAUGAAAGUGACUGCGAUGAAGCAAUCUUGCUAGCCGAGAAGGCUUUUGAAGUUAAAUAUUGUUUGGUUAUGGUUGAUGUGGCAACCAAUUCAUUGAAUAACAGAUUUAAAGAACUCCAAUCAUUCAAAAAGUAUAUUUGGAUUUUUAAUGAAUUCAACGGCCUCGAAGUUAGUGGACUGUUAUGAACUAAAAGACAAUUGCGCUAAAUUUGCAAGUUAUUUCUCUCCAGAUGAUUCAUCUAAUGUCGGGUUAAAUGAUCUAAUUUUUGAGUUAAGUGUUAUGCACUUGACUUUGCUCAAUAGACCAAUGUCUGCGAUGUGGAUUUUUGAGUUUGUCAGAGAAGCAGAUUGUUAUCCUAAUAUUUCUAUUGCCUAUCGGAUUUUAUUUACUAUGACUGACUGUAUAGCAUCAGCUGAAAGAAGCUUUUGAAAGUUGAAAUUGUUGAAAAACUACCUGAGAUCUGCAAUGUUAAAUGGCUUGGUAACUUAAUGCACUGAGAAGAAAUUGUUAGAUGAGAUUGAUAUUGAUACUAUAUUAGUUGCAUCUUGAAUUUUAGAAGAAAAUUUCAAGGUAAUAUGUGUAAAUUUCUUUGUAUGCAUAUUGAUUUUGGAUGCACCUAUUUUUUGGCGGUAAAAAAAAUCAUGUCUACUAAGGGCCCCGGAUUCUAGUUUCCCCCGGGCCCCUGAAAUCUCAGGACCGGCUCUGAGUGUGUACUGCAGCAAGACGCGCCCUCCGGUGAUGCGAGGGGAGGGGGCAAGAAAGGUGGUGGUGGUGUGGAGGCACUAGGGUUCCAACUUGCCUGAUAUUGGUCCACUUAAUGUUGAUAGGUUGGAUUUCAGUGAUCAUCAUUUCUUCAAUGAUUAUGACCUAGAAUUAAUUCAAGAAAGAGUGAGGCAGCUUGUCGAUCAACAUAACAAACAGACCGUAGUCUUAGUUACUGAGAAGGAUUACGACCGUGAUCCAGAUUUCCUUAGAAUGUUGGGCCUGAAGGUUUGGGUUCUGUCUUCUUCUUUGCAAAUUAUGCCCCUCAAGGAACAAGGAGAAGAUGAAUUGCUGAGGAAAUUAAAAGACAUUAUCACAGCAACUAGGCAUG